CUCUUCUUCUCCCUAAAAACGCAGCAGCACUUGGUCUCUCUUCCUCUCCACCAACCCGUGAGCUCCUCUCCCUCUCAACUCUCAUCUCUUCUUCACACAAGCUCAGAUUAGCAUGGGAAUGGGCUGAGCUCGUGUGAAGGACAGAGAGCAAGGGUUUCAAGGGCUGAAAACAGUAGCUUGAGCUUGGAUCAUGGGUCUUGCUUCCAAGUGAAAGUUCCAUCAUCUACAAGACUAAAGUAGUGAUUAUCAACUUCAAAGGAGUUCAAUAUACCGAUUAUUCUAAGGAUCGUGUCUGGAUUGGAGACUUUAAUUGAUUCUCCAAUGUAGAGUUCAAGUCAAGAGUCUAAUGCAGCCAAGUUGGUGUAGGUGAGCUCAAAUAUCUUCAAGUCGGUGCCGAUAAUAAAUUUCAGUUCGGUGCUGCUGUCCAGGUGCAUUUGUGAAAGCUGAAAUGCUGCAGGUUGUGAACACAUGUGCGUCCAGCUGGUUUGGUGCCUCAAGUGUGCUGCACUUGUCUAGGUUUUGAGGUAGUGUUGUCCAGGUUUUGACAAUUCGGUGUUGGCCUCUUGGGAAGUGUGGAUGUGCUGCCCUCCUUUGUCCCUUUCGGUGCUUGGGAGUGGAGCUGCUGUCCAGCAACUUUGAAGUUGCAUAAAUGUGCUGGCCGGUUGGGUGGAAGAUUUGGAGAAGAAAAUGUGCAUAAUUGGUCUUCAUUUACAUGCUGUCCACGUGCUGCCCUUGAAAAGAAUUGUCUUAUGGCAAUGAAUUGCAUGGCUACAAGUUCAACGUUAAUGCACUUAAU